UGUUUGAAAUUACAGCACUUCAUCCUUCUUUCUCGCACUCGCCGCAGGGAAAGACCAUCGCAGAUCUUCGACGCCUCUUCUCCUACAUUCCAGGCCUCUAAAAAAUCUCUGACGAGAUCCUCGUCAACACCGUCGACAACAAGCAGCGUGAUCCCUCCAUGGCAGCCGUCAAGGUCACCAUCAAUGCCAAACAGAACACUGUAUCCGUCUUCAACAACGGCGAUGUCAUACCCAUCGAGAUCCCCAAACUCAUUUGCGGCCACUUGCUCACUAACAGCAAUUAUGGUGACAACGUCAAGGAGAUCACCGGUGGAUGCAACAGCUAUGGUGUGAAGCUCACCAACAUCUUCUCCACCGAGUUCAGCAUCAAAAUCGUCGACGGAAAGGGCAAGAAGUAUAAAUAGGACACAAUUUUGUUUGAUAGGCACCUCCAAGGAAUCAUCCUCUUUUGCUCUUGUCGGCGUGAGAACUAACGCCAUUGGAUAUGACCUUUCACCUAAGUUUGUUCUGGUGCAAAAGACAUAUUUUGGCUCCUUCCUCACACAUUCGUAGAUCCAUCUAGAUAGUGACCUCCACAAAAGGAUACAAUUGAAGUCAUUAGCAGAAGAAAUGCAAGCAAUCAUCAGGGGAUUAGAAAAGGUUAAAGAGGAGCUGACUGCAUCAGAAAACGAUGGCCCAGUGACUGAGUUUUUCGUAAGGUGAU